CCGUGCUUAGCUCAGUUGGCUAGAGCACCUGACUGUAGAUCAGGGGGUCCCCGGUUCAAGUCCGGGAGCGCGGACCA
rnacentral:tRNA from 4 species